rnacentral:rRNA from 1 species
UACGUAGGGUGCGAGCGUUGUCCGGAAUUACUGGGCGUAAAGAGCUCGUAGGUGGUUUGUCGCGUUGUCCGUGAAAACUCACAACUCAAUUGUGGGCGUGCGGGCGAUACGGGCAGACUGGAGUACUGCAGGGGAGACUGGAAUUCCUGGUGUAGCGGUGGAAUGCGCAGAUAUCAGGAGGAACACCGGUGGCGAAGGUGGGAUCCUGGGCCAGUACUGACACUGAGGAGCGAAAGCGUGGGUAGCAAACAGG